CUGCUACUGACGCUGAGGCGCGAAAGCUGGGGGAGCAAACAGGAUUAGAUACCCUGGUAGUCCCAGCUGUAAACGGUGGCACUAGGUGUGGGGGGCAUCGACCCCUCCCGUGCCGCAGCUAACGCAUUAAGUGCCCCGCCUGGGGAGUACGACCGCAAGGUUGAAACUCAAAGGAAUUGACGGGGGCCCGCACAAGCGGUGGAGCAUGUGGUUAAUUCGACGCAACGCGAAGAACCUUACCUAGGCUUGACAUGCACUGGACAGGUGUGGAAAGACACCUUCCUUUCGGGGCCGGUGCACAGGUGCUGCAUGGCUGUCGUCAGCUCGUGUCGUGAGAUGUCUGGGUUAAGGUCCCGCAACGAGCGCAACCCUUGCCCCUAGUUGCUAACAAAUCAAGUUGAGCACUCUAGGGGGACUGCCGUCGAUAGGACGGAGGAAGGUGGGGAUGACGUCAAGUCCUCAUGGUCCUUACGCCUAGGGCUACACACGUGCUACAAUGGCCGGUACAAAGGGUUGCAAAGCCGCGAGGUAGAGCCAAUCCCCAUAAAAACCGGUCUCAGUUCGGAUUGCAGUCUGCAACUCGACUGCAUGAAGUCGGAAUCGCUAGUAAUCGCUGAUCAGCAGGCAGCGGUGAAUAUGUUCCCGGGCCUUGUACACACCGCCCGUCAAGCCACG
rnacentral:rRNA from 1 species